GGAUAAGAGGCUGGAUUACAGGCAGACAUUUAUGCACCGAUGUUUAUGACAAUAAUUCAAUAGUAGGAAACAGCUAAUUACUGCUGCACAUGACGGGGUGAUCAGGACCCGAACGCAGGCCAGGACACAGUGGUAAAAUGGUCAAACAAGCUUUAUUUACAGGGGGGAGGGGGCACACAAAGAACACAAGGAACAUGAGGAACACGGAGCACAUGAGGAACACGAGGACAGCCCUCCAGGGCUGCGGCGCACCCGAGGAACACUAGGACAGCCCUCCAGGGCUGCGGAGCACCCGAGGAACACGAGGGCAGCCCUCCAGGGCUGCGGAGCACCUGAGGAACACGAGGGCAGCCCUCCAGGGCUGCGGAGAACCCGAGGAACACGAGGGCAGCCCUCCAGGGCGUAGGGAACAGGGGCGGCCCUCCAGGGCGCAGGGAACAGGGGCGGCCCUCCAGGGCGCAGGGUACAGGGGCGGCCCUCCAGGAGACAUGAAGCUGGAGCAGCCCUCCAGGAGACACAAAGCUGGAGCGGCCCUCCAGGAAACACAGAACACCAGCACACAACGAGGAAGACGAACAGACAGCCUAGAGACCAACAGAACACCCACACAACACAAACAGACACCCUGGCACUGACAGGCAGACGCAACCUGCUUAAAUAGGCAGCCCGAUGUAAAUUGCCUACAGGUGCGCGUGCCAGCAGUGCCAGCUGCCACCAAUUGUGCCCCACACCACCCCCUGUAGGACAACGACCGACACAACCCAAAAACCCUGACAGCACAUCUGUGUUCAGCCCAAUAAACUACCAAAGAAUAGUAAAUAUCUUU
rnacentral:lncRNA from 1 species